rnacentral:misc_RNA from 1 species
CCGAGUUUACAACUCCCAAACCCCUGUGAACAUACCUAUACGUUGCCUCGGCGGAUCAGCCCGCGCCCGUAAAACGGGACGGCCCGCCAGAGGACCCCUAAACUCUGUUUCUAUAGUGGAACUUCUGAGUAAAACCAUAAAUAAAUCA